GGCCUACGGAGCCAAGCGCUACAAUUACCUGAAACCUCGGGCAGAAGAGGAGAGGAGGAUAGCCGCUGAGGAGAAAAAGAAGCAGGAUGAACUGAAGCGGAUCGAGAGAGAACUGGCAGAAGCCCAAGAGGACAGCAUAUUGAAGUGAGCCUGCGUUUCUCUGGAGCAGCGUGGACGAAUAAAGCCUUCUGUGCUGUGUA